rnacentral:rRNA from 1 species
GUGGAUUAGAUACCCUGGUAGUCCACGCCCUAAACGAUGUCAACUAGGUGUUGGGUGGGUAAAACCAUUUAGUACCGUAGCUAACGCGUGAAGUUGACCGCCUGGGGAGUACGGCCGCAAGGUUAAAACUCAAAGGAAUUGACGGGGACCCGCACAAGCGGUGGAUGAUGUGGAUUAAUUCGAUGCAACGCGAAAAACCUUACCUACCCUUGACAUGUCCGGAAUCCCGAAGAGAUUUGGGAGUGCUCGAAAGAGAGCCGGAACACAGGUGCUGCACGGUUGUCGACAGCU